AUGUCCAAAGUAAGAACCUUUUUAUUUUCAUUUUGGUCCUUUCUUUAAUUUCGAGACAGAUCUUUAGAUAAUGGUUAAUUUCAUGGUUGCUUCUUGUUCCUUGAAGGGUUGUAGAUAUCAGGAGUGGGAAAUAGCAUUAAAGAUUUGAUCCAUUUUGAUGCAUGUGCAAAGUAUGCUUUUGUGAAUCUAGAUUACACUUGAGCCUAUUGCCAUUCUGGAUACUGGAAGCUGAUAUCUUCAUUUGUUUGAAUGUUUUGGAACUUUUGUUACUCUACCAUGGUUGUGUAUCAAAAUUGUAUCUGGUGUAUAAUUUGAAAAUUAC
rnacentral:lncRNA from 1 species